GUGUAGGGGAACAAGCGAAUAUAGUCAAAAGGUUAUGACACUUAGGCAUGCUGUACAUUGACCUGUGACAGGUUUUCAGUCGAAUACAGUUCAGUGUCCAUUUGUAUUCUUGUAUUUGCUAUAUACAUACAUUCCAGACAUUGUGCAAUGCAUUAAUUCACCUGCCCGUCCACUUCCCCAUCUUCCCUUGUAAGUGGUUGGUAUUCAACAAUGAUCCGUAAACAAUAAACACUGGAACCCCCGUGGUGAGUUGGAGGGGGAUGGUUCCCUCAGGUGUUUGCUAUAGUUACUGGUCUGCAUUGGGUGCACUGACAGAAGUGACCGGGUCUACGUAUGGGUGGUUUCAACCCUACAUGCUGCUCACUAUCUAUACCAGUCCAGCCUCACACUCUAUGGAGGGCUCAGCGGCAUCCGGCCCUCCGGCCUGUAAGUCAUCUCUAUCGCUGUACCCCGCUCUUAAUUGGUCCCACCCCAUCCAGGGGAACGACUUCUGUUGUCUCCUCUCUUCUAAUUCUGCUUAUGUAAUUUUGUAUUUUUUUUUCACAGUGGCAAUUAUGUCAUUAAUUGACAGAGGUCUUGUCUGUUUCCAGUGCCUCACAAUAAGGUGGAGGGUGGCUAAUAGAACGUGGGUUGUCAACACUUUGUUAUCCCAUGAUAUUUGGGAUGGCAGAUACAACAACCAUACGUUUAAGGGUUUAUUAGGUAUGGCUUUUUUCGCAAUGUUCUACACUAUGGAGUGUAUCUUAGUCCACAUUGGUAGGAGGACUGGGCAUGUCCACCAUAUGUGGAGCAUCGUGCCCUUGUGUUUGCCACAUCUCCAGCAUAUAGGGGAGAUGCCUUGGUAGAUGCGUGCUAGUCUGGCUGGAACCAUGAACCACCUUAGCAAAAUUUUCCUGUGCAAUUCUAUGUGUGCUGUGCAGUGCGUGAUCCCUUUCAAUGCCCGCAGGAUAAUUGCCCAUUGUGAGUCUGCAGUGGUUGCCCCGCAGUCCCGAGUCCACUCUACUGCGUACUGGCAUUGUCCAAAGGGUUGGUGUUGAUUUAGUGCCUGGUAGCACACGUAUAGCUGUCCCCGAGCUGGGGCGAUCCCCACACACAUCUUCUCGAAUUGGGACAUGGUUUUGUCCCGGCCUUUCUGUUGUCUGUGUUCCCUAUUGGAGUCUAAAAAGUGUGUAAUUUGGAGGUAUGCAUAUUGUAUGGUCUUUGGGAUGUUCUAUUUUGUCACUAGCUCUUGAAAGGAUAGCCUCAUGUCUCUUUCGUAAAAGCAGUGGAGGUGGUGGAUCCCCGCUUGCUGCCAUGCAGCCACAUUAAAGUUCUUGAUUCUGUGUCCAUAAUAAGGGGUGUUUGUUUGUCCUAUGUUUGUAUCUUAAACUGCGUGAUAGGCAGUAUGUCAGGUGCUCUGGGCCUAUGCUCAUAGUUGCCAGCGGUGUGCCUAAGAACCUUUCCUCAAUAGAGACCCUUUGUGGGCGGUUUUGGGUCGCAAUUGCCUGUGUCAGUGGCGCCAGCACUGCCGCUCUAUGGUACAAGAGGAGGUCGGGGACCCCUGUGCCUCCCUCAGUGUAGCUUCUAUGUAGCUGUUUCAUGGCUACCCUGGGUUUUUAACCUGCCCAUACAAAUCUUGCUAAAUCCUUUUGUGCUUUUUAAAAGAAGGAUAUUGGUGCCGCUAUUGGCAGCAGACGGAAGAUGUUUUGUAGUUUAGGUAAAAACACAAUUUUAAAAGCGGCUGCUCUGCCCACCCAUGAUAUAUAUUUGUCUCUCCAUUCCCUGAUAGUGUGUUCUAUUUCCCUCCAAAUCCUAACAUAGUUGUCCUCACAGAGGUUCCGGGGAUUUCGUGACAGCCACAGGCCCAAGAACUUGAUGUGUGUGUCUGACCAUUCAAAUUUGUAUUGCGAUUUUAAGAUAUUGGGUAGUCGUCACGGUAAGAUUGAUCCCCAUUGCUUGGGAAUUUGGCUCAUUAAGUUUGUGAUACGACACGGCACCAGAGUCCAUCAGUAUUUUGUGGACUUCUGGUUCUGAUGUCCUUGGUUGGGUCAUAGUAAUUAGGACGUCGUCCGCAAAGAGGUUAAGUUUGUGUUCCCCACCUCCAAUGUUAAUACCGUGUAUGCUGGGUGUGGAUAGUAUCAGUUCUGCCAGCGGUUCGAGUGCUAAUAUAUACAAGAUUGGCGACAUAGGGCAACCCUGCCUCGUGCCAUUAGUUUACUUAAAUCUCGUGGACGUGUAACUGCCCGUAGAUACCACCUCUGUCGGUCCAUUGUAAAGGGACAUGACUUGAGAAAUUGUUGUGGGGUACCAAACCUUCCCAAGGGCCGAGACCAAUAACUCCCAGCCCAACCGGUCAUACGCUUUUUCCAGUGAGAGCAGUAGGCCCUCUGUCCCGGCCCGCCUCAUAUGGCUUAACAGGUCAAGCACCUUGCAUGAGUUAUCUGCCCCUUGGCGCCCAGCUACAAACCCCACCUGGUCUCCCUUUAUUAGGGUUGGUAUGACCAAGGAUAAUCUGGUUGCUAGCAGCUUAGCGUAGAUCUUGGCAUCCACAUUGAGCAACGAUAUGGGUCUAAAAUGUUUGCAUUCUUUCAGUUGUUUCCCAGGUUUGGGUAGUGUGAUAAUAUUAGCUAGUAGCAUGUCUGUCGGUAAGCCUUUGUCUUGGUUAGUAUCAUUAAACCACUUUGUCAUAAAUGGUUCUAAGAGAUCCCCAAAAACCUUGUAAUAUAAUUGCAUGUUAGGCCGUGUGGUCCCAGUGCUUUAUGGGGCAGCAACCCCGCUAUAGUCUUAAGGAUUUCGUCGGUCGAAAAACGUUCAGUCAGGGAUGCUGCUUGGGCAGCUGUUAAUUUGGGGAGCGACACCCUGUCUAGGAAGUUCCAGAUCUGUUCCCCAGUAGGUCGUACGUUGGGUUGGUCUGUCUUGGUUAUAGAGAGCCUUAUAAAAUGUCGCAAGAGCCUCGCUAAUGUCCUGGGGUUUGUGUACCGUUUUUGUAUCGUUUACACGUAUGGAUGACAUAUGUUGUUUCGCUUGUCUACGUUUAAGUAAGUUGGCCAGCAACUUGCCUGCCCUGUUACCCUGGUGAUAAAACUAGGCUUGUAGUUUCUGUAGGUGAAAAUUUGUUUUUAGUAAAUUGGCUUUGUCAAUUUGGGAUUUUUAGCGUCUUAAUCUGUGUAGUGCUUGUGGUAUUUUUAAGGAAUAUGCUGGCAUUUGUAUUAAAUCAACUUUCUAAAAAUGUCAUCCGAAUAUAAAAAUGUUUUUGGAGGAGGUGGCAAUCCCUUCUAAAUCUCUUCACCUUUGUAUUCUUAUGCCGGUUUACAGCUGCUCUUGCUGUCCACCUUUGUGGAAAACUGCUGCUUAUAGAAGCAUAGGUUCUGAGAGCUGCACUGGAAAACUGCCCUAUUUUGUUUAUGCCCACUACCCGUAUCUUUUUUUUUUUUUUAAAUAAAAUGCAAGACACCCGCAUCAUUAUUGUAUGCCCUUCCUCCAUGGAAAGGGAUUUAGGAGUAAUUAUUUCAGAUGACUUAAAGGUAGGAAGACAAUGUAAUACUGGAAAUGCUAGCAGAAUGCUUGGUUGUAUAGGGAGAGGUAUUAGCAGUAGAAAGAGGGAUGUGCUCAUGCCAUUGUACAGAACACUGGUGAGACCUCACUUGAGGUAUUGUACGCAGUACUGGAGACCGUAUCUUCAGAAUGAUAUUGAUACCUUACAGAGAGUUCAGAGAAGGGCUACUAAGCUGGUUCCUGGAUUGCAGGAUAAAACUUACCAGGAAAGGUUAAAGGAACUUAACAUGUAUAACUUGGAGGAAAGACGAGACAUGGGGAAUAUGAUAGAAACAUUUAAAUAUAUAAAGGGAAUCAACACCGUAAAGGAGAUUAUUUAAAAGAAGAAAAACUACCACAACAAGAGGACAUAGUCUUAAAUUAGAGGGGCAAAGGUUUAAAAAUAUCAGGAAGUAUUACUUUACUGAGAGGGUAGUGGAUGCAUGGAAUAGCUUUUCAGCUGAAGUGUUAGAGGUUAACACAGAGAGGGAGUUUAAGCAUGCAUGGGAUAGGCAUAAGGCUACCUUAGACUUAAGAUGAGGCCAGGGACUAAUUAAAAGUAUUUUGAAAUAUUGGGCAGACUAGAUGGGCUGAAUGGUUCUUAUCUGCCGUCACAUUCUAUGUUUCUAUGUAAGCAGUAUUGAGCAACAUUCAGCCAGGCCACGCCUCCAGCCCUUCCUCCCUCACACACAGAUUCUUCAGCUCUUUCCAAAUGUAGUAGAAACUUUAUUGACCCUUGCCUUAUAGGGACACUAUAGGCACCCAGACCACUUCAGCCCAUUUGGUGGGGGGCACUCCAGGACGGGUUUGUUUUUCUGGCACUAGCGAAUCCCUUUAAGCCCUUAUUAAGACUGAAGAGCUCUCUUCCUGCCACAACCAGACUAAAAUGUGAGUUUUGUAACUUCGGAGCUAGAACACAGCCACAUGCUGCAGUGUAAUAUGUAUUUUAGACUCCAUUUAUAAUAAAUGUGUGUUGUAACUGUGUAUUAAUGGGGUUUAUUCAUUAAACAGUAAAUUGUG